AGGUGUGAUGACGAGGCACUACGGUGCUGAAGUGAUAAAUGCCCUGCUUCCAGGAAAAGCCUCUAAGCAUCAGGUAACACGAAAUCGUACCCCAAACCGACACAGGUGGUCAGGUAGAGAAUACCAAGGCGCUUGAGAGAACUCGGGUGAAGGAACUAGGCAAAAUGGUGCCGUAACUUCGGGAGAAGGCACGCUGAUAGGUAGGUGAAGUCCCUGCGGACGGAGCUGAAAUCAGUCGAAGAUACCAGCUGGCUGCAACUGUUUAUUAAAAACACAGCACUGUGCAAACACGAAAGUGGACGUAUACGGUGUGACGCCUGCCCGGUGCCGGAAGGUUAAUUGAUGGGGUUAGCGGCAACGCGAAGCUCUUGAUCGAAGCCCCGGUAAACGGCGGCCGUAACUAUAACGGUCCUAAGGUAGCGAAAUUCCUUGUCGGGUAAGUUCCGACCUGCACGAAUGGCGUAAUGAUGGCCAGGCUGUCUCCACCCGAGACUCAGUGAAAUUGAACUCGCUGUGAAGAUGCAGUGUACCCGCGGCAAGACGGAAAGACCCCGUGAACCUUUACUAUAGCUUGACACUGAACACUGGUCCUUGAUGUGUAGGAUAGGUGGGAGGCUUUGAAGCGUGGACGCCAGUCUGCGUGGAGCCAACCUUGAAAUACCACCCUUUAAUGGCUGGUGUUCUAACGUAGACCCGUAAUCCGGGUUGCGGACAGUGUCUGGUGGGUAGUUUGACUGGGGCGGUCUCCUCCCAAAGAGUAACGGAGGAGCACGAAGGUUGGCUAAUCCUGGUCGGACAUCAGGAGGUUAGUGCAAUGGCAUAAGCCAGCUUGACUGCGAGCGUGACGGCGCGAGCAGGUGCGAAAGCAGGUCAUAGUGAUCCGGUGGUUCUGAAUGGAAGGGCCAUCGCUCAACGGAUAAAAGGUACUCCGGGGAUAACAGGCUGAUACCGCCCAAGAGUUCAUAUCGACGGCGGUGUUUGGCACCUCGAUGUCGGCUCAUCACAUCCUGGGGCUGAAGUAGGUCCCAAGGGUAUGGCUGUUCGCCAUUUAAAGUGGUACGCGAGCUGGGUUUAGAACGUCGUGAGACAGUUCGGUCCCUAUCUGCCGUGGGCGCUGGAGAAUUGAGGGGGGCUGCUCCUAGUACGAGAGGACCGGAGUGGACGCAUCACUGGUGUUCGGGUUGUCAUGCCAAUGGCACUGCCCGGUAGCUA
rnacentral:rRNA from 1 species